rnacentral:rRNA from 1 species
AGCUCCAAUGGUGUAUAUUGAAGUUGUUGCGGUUAAGAAGCUCGUAGUUGGAAGUCUGCCUAGGAAGACUGGUCCGCCCUCCGGGUGAGUAUCUGGCUAGGCCUGGGCAUUUUCUUGGAGAAUGUAGAUGCACUUGGCUGUGUGGUGCGGUAUCCAGGACCUGUACUUUCAGGAAAUUAAAGUGUUUCAAGCAGGCCGAUGCCUUGUAUACGUUAGCACGGCAUACUAAGAUAGGACCUCGGUUCUAUUUUGUUGGUUUCCAGAGCUGAGGUAAUGGUUAAUAGGGAUAGUUGGGGGUGUUCGUACUUGAUUGUCGGAGGUGAAAUUCUUGGAUUUGUUAAAGACGGACAACUGCGAAAGCAUUCGCCAAGGAUGUUCUCA